GCGGAGAGGAGAAGAGGAGAGGAGAGCGCGCGCAGCGCACGCGUCGAGUUUGAAAAAAAAAAAAAAAAAACAUACACAACACAACACACGCUGCAGGGAUUCAUAAAGUGGAACAGGUGCAACUGAAACUGAAUCCAGGACAUGGAAACUGAAGAUCAAGAUACCCUCCAGAAUAUUUCCUCAUAUCCCAAUAAAUGCUGGCUGCCUCUGAAAGGAAAAUUCUUGUUGAAAAAGUUGAAAAAGGCUAAACGAAAGAGCAAUGUUCAUGGAAAUGGAGCUAUAAAAAGAGAAAGUGAAGCUAUUAAUUAUGAAGCAGGUGAGAGAGACACAGAAACAGGUAGAUAUGUGUAUUUAAUUAUAGGUCUGUGAUUUUUUUUGAUUUUUUUUUUUUUACUGUGAUUUCCUGCUUGCGCCUUCCUACUUCUUCAUGUCUCUCAUAGUAACGGCAGAAUGUGUGAACAGCGCUGGACUCUAGGGCUGAAUUUGAUGGAUCACCCCCACAGUUCUGGAACCUAAAACAUCAACAGCAGAAUGGGCUGACAGGUGGCUGAAUCCAACACACAUUCACACACAACACACAAACAAACACAUGCAAGCAUGCACAAGACAGCAUGGAAGCAGAAAUGUGGGUGGGAUUAUGGGAACUUAAGUUUUAAACAACUAUUCUUCCUCUUGGCUUCUUUUAGUUUCUCAUUUAUUUUGUGACCUUUAACCUUGUUGGAAAUCAAAGAACAAAUUAAUCAUGUUCAAAUGUUUUACUUUCAAUAUUGUAUAACUUGCUGUCUUAUUCUCCUUAAUGAAAUUACUGACAAAACUGUUUUAACUUUUUUUUAUCUUAACAAUAAUGAAGGCAAGACAAAAAAUGCACAU